UGGGUUGUAGCUCAGUGGUAGAGCACUUGCCUAGCACAUAUGAGGCCCUGGAUUCAAUACUCAGCACCACAU
rfam:Ictidomys tridecemlineatus contig042266, whole genome shotgun sequence.